GGAGGGGUAGUUCAGACGGAGAGAACAGCGGGCGCGCAACCCGAAGACGCAGGUUCGAGUCCUGCCCCCCUUCA
rnacentral:tRNA from 1 species